GCUACGGGAGGCAGCAGUGGGGAAUAUUGGGCAAUGGGCGCAAGCCUGACCCAGCAACGCCGCGUGAAGGAAGAAGGCUCUCGGGUUGUAAACUUCUUUUAUUCGGGACGAAACAAAUGACGGUACCGAAUGAAUAAGCCACGGCUAACUACGUGCCAGCAGCAGCGGUAAUACGUAGGUGGCAAGCGUUAUCCGGAUUUACUGGGUGUAAAGGGCGUGUAGGCGGGAGAGCAAGUCAGACGUGAAAUUCCAGGGCUCAACCCUGGGACUGCGUUUUAAACUGUUCUUCUUGAGUGAUGGGGGGGCAGGCGGAAUUCCGGGUGUAGCGGUGAAAUGCGUAGAUAUACGGAGGAACACCAGUGGCGAAGGCGGCCUGCUGGACAGUAACUGACGCUGAGGCGCGAAAGCGUGGGGAGCAAACAGGAUUAGAUACCCCAGUAGUC
rnacentral:rRNA from 1 species